rnacentral:rRNA from 1 species
AACGCUAGCUACAGGCUUAACACAUGCAAGUCGAGGGGCAGCGCAGUGUAGCAAUACACGGGCGGCGACCGGCGCACGGGUGCGUAACGCGUAUCCAACCUUCCCGAUACUCAGGGAUAGCCUUCCGAAAGGGAGAUUAAUACCUGAUGGUGUUCAAAUUCCGCAUGUUAUUUGAACUAAAGAUUUAUCGGUAUCGGAUGGGGAUGCGUGACAUUAGAUAGUAGGCGGGGUAACGGCCCACCUGGUCUACGAUGUCUAGGGGUUCUGAGAGGAAGGUCCCCCACACUGGAACUGAGACACGGUCCAGACUCCUACGGGAGGCAGCAGUGAGGAAUAUUGGUCAAUGGUCGGAAGACUGAACCAGCCAAGUAGCGUGAAGGAUGAAGGUUCUAUGGAUUGUAAACUUCUUUUAUACGGGAAUAAAGCCCACUACGUGUAGUGGUUUGUAUGUACCGUAUGAAUAAGCAUCGGCUAACUCCGUGCCAGCAGCCGCGGUAAUACGGAGGAUGCGAGCGUUAUCCGGAUUUAUUGGGUUUAAAGGGAGCGUAGACGGGAUGUUAAGUCAGUUGUGAAAGGCUGCGGCUCAACCGCAGCACUGCAGUUGAUACUGGCGUCCUUGAGUGCGGUUGAGGUGUAUGGAAUUCGUGGUGUAGCGGUGAAAUGCUUAGAUAUCACGAAGAACUCCGAUUG